rnacentral:rRNA from 1 species
GAUUAUCGCUGGCGGCAUGCCUAAUACAUGCAAGUCGAACGAGAAAUUUAUUUCUAGUGGCGAACGGGUGAGUAAUGCAUAUUUAAUCUGCCCCUUUGUGAGGAAUAACUGUUGGAAACGAUAGCUAAUACCUCAUAGGAUAUAAGAAGGCAUCUUCUUAUGUUUAAAGGCGCUUCAAAGCGUCGCUAAGGGAUGGGAAUAUGUUGUAUUAGCUAGUUGGUGGGGUAAUGGCUCACCAAGGCAAUGAAGCAUAGCCGGUCUGAGAGGACGAACGGCCACAAUGGGACUGAGACACGGCCCAUACUCCUACGGGAGGCAGCAGUAGGGAAUUUUCCACAAUGGACGAAAGUCUGAUGGAGCAAUGCCGCGUGAGGGAUGAAGGAUUUCGGUCUGUAAACCUCUGUUGUAAGGGAAGAACAAUAGAAUGAGGAAAUGCUUUCUAUUUGACGGUACUUUACCAGAAAGUCACGGCUAACUAUGUGCCAGCCGCCGCCGUAACAC